rnacentral:rRNA from 1 species
GCUGUCACUUGCGGAUGGGCCCGCGGCGCAUUAGCUAGUUGGUGAGGUAACGGCUCACCAAGGCGACGAUGCGUAGCCGGCCUGAGAGGGUGACCGGCCACACUGGGACUGAGACACGGCCCAGACUCCUACGGGAGGCAGCAGUAGGGAAUCUUCCGCAAUGGGCGAAAGCCUGACGGAGCGACGCCGCGUGAGCGAAGAAGGCCUUCGGGUCGUAAAGCUCUGUUGUGAGGGACGAAGGAGCGCCGUUCGAAGAGGGCGGCGCGGUGACGGUACCUCACGAGAAAGCCCCGGCUAACUACGUGCCAGCAGCCGCGGUAAUACGUAGGGGGCGAGCGUUGUCCGGAAUUAUUGGGCGUAAAGCGCGCGCAGGCGGUCUCUUAAGUCUGAUGUGAAAGCCCACGGCUCAACCGUGGAGGGUCAUUGGAAACUGGGGGACUUGAGGGCAGGAGAGGAGAGCGGAAUUCCACGUGUAGCGGUGAAAUGCGUAGAGAUGUGGAGGAACACCAGUGGCGAAGGCGGCUCUCUGGCCUGCA